UACGUAGGGUGCAAGCGUUAAUCGGAAUUACUGGGCGUAAAGCGUGCGCAGGCGGUCUUGUAAGUCUGUCGUGAAAUCCCCGGGCUCAACCUGGGAAUGGCGAUGGAGACUGCAAGGCUAGAGUUUGGCAGAGGGGGGUAGAAUUCCACGUGUAGCAGUGAAAUGCGUAGAUAUGUGGAGGAACACCGAUGGCGAAGGCAGCCCCCUGGGUCAAAACUGACGCUCAUGCACGAAAGCGUGGGGAGCAAACAGG
rnacentral:rRNA from 1 species